CCUACGGGUGGCAGCAGUAGGGAAUAUUGCUCAAUGGGGGAAACCCUGAAGCAGCAACGCCGCGUGGAGGAUGAAGGUUUUCGGAUUGGAAACUCCUUUUGGUAGAGAAGAUAAUGACGGUAUCUAACGAAUAAGCACCGGCUAACUCCGUGCCAGCAGCCGCGGUAAUACGGAGGGUGCAAGCGUUACUCGGAAUCACUGGGCGUAAAGAGCGCGUAGGCGGGAUAGCAAGUCAGAUGUGAAAUCCUAUGGCUUAACCAUAGAACUGCAUUUGAAACUGUUAUUCUAGAGUAUGGGAGAGGUAGGUGGAAGUCUUGGUGUAGGGGUGAAAUCCUUAGAGAUCACGAGGAAUACUCAUUGCGAAGGCGACCUGCUAGAGCAUAACUGACGCUGAUGCGCGAAAGCGUGGGGAGCGAACAGGAUUAGAUACCCUGGUAGUC
rnacentral:rRNA from 1 species